UACGAAGGGGGCUAGCGUUGUUCGGAUUUACUGGGCGUAAAGCGCGCGUAGGCGGCUCAUCAAGUGCAGAGUGAAAUCCCACGGCUUACCCGUGGAACUGCUCUGUAUACUGACGAGCUAGAGGACGGUAGGGGAGAGCGGAACUCUUGGUGGAGCGGUGAAAUGCGUAGAUAUCAAGAGGAACACCGAUGGCGAAGGCAGCUCUCUGGUCCGUUUCUGACGCUGAGGCGCGAAAGCUAGGGUAGCAAACGGG
rnacentral:rRNA from 1 species